rnacentral:rRNA from 1 species
GGUUAAGCGACUAAGCGUACACGGUGGAUGCCCUGGCAGUCAGAGGCGAUGAAGGACGUGCUAAUCUGCGAUAAGCGUCGGUAAGGUGAUAUGAACCGUUAUAACCGGCGAUUUCCGAAUGGGGAAACCCAGUGUGUUUCGACACACUAUCAUUAACUGAAUCCAUAGGUUAAUGAGGCGAACCGGGGGAACUGAAACAUCUAAGUACCCCGAGGAAAAGAAAUCAACCGAGAUUCCCCCAGUAGCGGCGAGCGAACGGGGAGCAGCCCAGAGCCUGAAUCAGUGUGUGUGUUAGUGGAAGCGUCUGGAAAGGCGCGCGAUACAGGGUGACAGCCCCGUACACAAAAAUGCACAUGCUGUGAGCUCGAUGAGUAGGGCGGGACACGUGGUAUCCUGUCUGAAUAUGGGGGGACCAUCCUCCAAGGCUAAAUACUCCUGACUGACCGAUAGUGAACCAGUACCGUGAGGGAAAGGCGAAAAGAACCCCGGCGAGGGGAGUGAAAAAGAACCUGAAACCGUGUACGUACAAGCAGUGGGAGCACGCUUAGGCGUGUGACUGCGUACCUUUUGUAUAAUGGGUCAGCGACUUAUAUUCUGUAGCAAGGUUAACCGAAUAGGGGAGCCGAAGGGAAACCGAGUCUUAACUGGGCGUUAAGUUGCAGGGUAUAGACCCGAAACCCGGUGAUCUAGCCAUGGGCAGGUUGAAGGUUGGGUAACACUAACUGGAGGACCGAACCGACUAAUGUUGAAAAAUUAGCGGAUGACUUGUGGCUGGGGGUGAAAGGCCAAUCAAACCGGGAGAUAGCUGGUUCUCCCCGAAAGCUAUUUAGGUAGCGCCUCGUGAAUUCAUCUCCGGGGGUAGAGCACUGUUUCGGCAAGGGGGUCAUCCCGACUUACCAACCCGAUGCAAACUGCGAAUACCGGAGAAUGUUAUCACGGGAGACACACGGCGGGUGCUAACGUCCGUCGUGAAGAGGGAAACAACCCAGACCGCCAGCUAAGGUCCCAAAGUCAUGGUUAAGUGGGAAACGAUGUGGGAAGGCCCAGACAGCCAGGAUGUUGGCUUAGAAGCAGCCAUCAUUUAAAGAAAGCGUAAUAGCUCACUGGUCGAGUCGGCCUGCGCGGAAGAUGUAACGGGGCUAAACCAUGCACCGAAGCUGCGGCAGCGACGCUUAUGCGUUGUUGGGUAGGGGAGCGUUCUGUAAGCCUGUGAAGGUGUGCUGUGAGGCAUGCUGGAGGUAUCAGAAGUGCGAAUGCUGACAUAAGUAACGAUAAAGCGGGUGAAAAGCCCGCUCGCCGGAAGACCAAGGGUUCCUGUCCAACGUUAAUCGGGGCAGGGUGAGUCGACCCCUAAGGCGAGGCCGAAAGGCGUAGUCGAUGGGAAACAGGUUAAUAUUCCUGUACUUGGUGUUACUGCGAAGGGGGGACGGAGAAGGCUAUGUUGGCCGGGCGACGGUUGUCCCGGUUUAAGCGUGUAGGCUGGUUUUCCAGGCAAAUCCGGAAAAUCAAGGCUGAGGCGUGAUGACGAGGCACUACGGUGCUGAAGCAACAAAUGCCCUGCUUCCAGGAAAAGCCUCUAAGCAUCAGGUAACAUCAAAUCGUACCCCAAACCGACACAGGUGGUCAGGUAGAGAAUACCAAGGCGCUUGAGAGAACUCGGGUGAAGGAACUAGGCAAAAUGGUGCCGUAACUUCGGGAGAAGGCACGCUGAUAUGUAGGUGAAGUCCCUCGCGGAUGGAGCUGAAAUCAGUCGAAGAUACCAGCUGGCUGCAACUGUUUAUUAAAAACACAGCACUGUGCAAACACGAAAGUGGACGUAUACGGUGUGACGCCUGCCCGGUGCCGGAAGGUUAAUUGAUGGGGUUAGCGGUAACGCGAAGCUCUUGAUCGAAGCCCCGGUAAACGGCGGCCGUAACUAUAACGGUCCUAAGGUAGCGAAAUUCCUUGUCGGGUAAGUUCCGACCUGCACGAAUGGCGUAAUGAUGGCCAGGCUGUCUCCACCCGAGACUCAGUGAAAUUGAACUCGCUGUGAAGAUGCAGUGUACCCGCGGCAAGACGGAAAGACCCCGUGAACCUUUACUAUAGCUUGACACUGAACAUUGAGCCUUGAUGUGUAGGAUAGGUGGGAGGCUUAGAAGUGUGGACGCCAGUCUGCAUGGAGCCGACCUUGAAAUACCACCCUUUAAUGUUUGAUGUUCUAACGUUGACCCGUAAUCCGGGUUGCGGACAGUGUCUGGUGGGUAGUUUGACUGGGGCGGUCUCCUCCUAAAGAGUAACGGAGGAGCACGAAGGUUGGCUAAUCCUGGUCGGACAUCAGGAGGUUAGUGCAAUGGCAUAAGCCAGCUUGACUGCGAGCGUGACGGCGCGAGCAGGUGCGAAAGCAGGUCAUAGUGAUCCGGUGGUUCUGAAUGGAAGGGCCAUCGCUCAACGGAUAAAAGGUACUCCGGGGAUAACAGGCUGAUACCGCCCAAGAGUUCAUAUCGACGGCGGUGUUUGGCACCUCGAUGUCGGCUCAUCACAUCCUGGGGCUGAAGUAGGUCCCAAGGGUAUGGCUGUUCGCCAUUUAAAGUGGUACGCGAGCUGGGUUUAGAACGUCGUGAGACAGUUCGGUCCCUAUCUGCCGUGGGCGCUGGAGAACUGAGGGGGGCUGCUCCUAGUACGAGAGGACCGGAGUGGACGCAUCACUGGUGUUCGGGUUGUCAUGCCAAUGGCACUGCCCGGUAGCUAAAUGCGGAAGAGAUAAGUGCUGAAAGCAUCUAAGCACGAAACUUGCCCCGAGAUGAGUUCUCCCUGACUCCUUGAGAGUCCUGAAGGAACGUUGAAGACGACGACGUUGAUAGGCCGGGUGUGUAAGCGCAGCGAUGCGUUGAGCUAACCGGUACUAAUGAACCGUGAGGCUUAACCUU